rnacentral:rRNA from 1 species
CUAGAGAUAGAGUCUUCCCCUUUGGGGGACAAAGUGACAGGUGGUGCAUGGUUGUCGUCAGCUCGUGUCGUGAGAUGUUGGGUUAAGUCCCGCAACGAGCGCAACCCUUAAGCUUAGUUGCCAGCAUUAAGUUGGGCACUCUAAGUUGACUGCCGGUGACAAACCGGAGGAAGGUGGGGAUGACGUCAAAUCAUCAUGCCCCUUAUGAUUUGGGCUACACACGUGCUACAAUGGACAAUACAAAGGGCAGCUAAACCGUGAGGUCAUGCAAAUCCCAUAAAGUUGUUCUCAGUUCGGAUUGUAGUCUGCAACUCGACUACAUGAAGCUGGAAUCGCUAGUAAUCGUAGAUCAGCAUGCUACGGUGAAUACGUUCCCGGGUCUUGUACACACCGCCCGUCACACCACGAGAGUCUGUAACACCCGAAGCCGGUGGAGUAACCAUUUAUGGAGCUAGCCGUCGAAGGUGGGACAAAUGAUUGGGGUGAAGUCGUAACAAGGUAGCCGUAUCGGAAG